rnacentral:rRNA from 1 species
GACGAACGCUGGCGGCGUGCUUAACACAUGCAAGUCGAGCGGUAAGGCCCUUUUGGGGGUACACGAGCGGCGAACGGGUGAGUAACACGUGGGUGACCUGCCCUCAGCUCUGGGAUAAGCCUGGGAAACUGGGUCUAAUACUGGAUAUGACCUUUCCUCGCAUGGGGUUGGGUGGAAAGUUUUUUCGGCUGGGGAUGGGCCCGCGGCCCAUCAGCUUGUUGGUGGGGUGAUGGCCUACCAAGGCGACGACGGGUAGCCGGCCUGAGAGGGCGACCGGCCACCACUGGGACUGAGACACGGCCCAGACUCCUACGGGAGGGCAGCAGUGGGGAAGUAUUGCGCAAUGGGCGGAAGCCUGACGCAGCGACGCCGCGUGGGGGA